rnacentral:lncRNA from 1 species
CUUAAGUUAGACGGCGUCGUUUUGGUGCGUUCUGGCUACAGCUUCUUGGGGGUCUGAGAUUCGUAAAUCAUUUUGGCAAAAUGAAAGAAGCCCUCGAGCAUUUGAGAAAGAGAAAGGAAACCCAUCAGCUAGGGUUCGUGAAGAAAAGAAGGGUUCAGCUAGGGUUCGUGAAUCAGCAAUGAGAAGAAGAAGAAAGCAGCAGUUCGUUAUCUGAGUUGGUCGGAAGCAUGUGCGGAGCUUGAAUAGUUGGAGACCAGGUUCAGAGUUAGUUGAAGGCCAAACGAGAAGCUUCUGAGUUAGUUUGUGAUUCCCCUCAUUUUCCCUUUUUCUCUCUUUUUCUGUUUUCAAUCUUUUCUAUAAAAGGAAGUCUUUGUAAUGAACAAUAUACGUGCACUGGGUGACAGGCAGUGUACUUAGACUAGGUUUUUGCAUUCUCUCGCUUUAGAGUAGAUAGUGGUGGGUGACAGACAUCACUUGUAGGGUUUACAUUGCGAUUCAGUUUUCAAUUCUUGGUUUAGUUUAGGUUUAUCAAGCUUUUCUUAGAGAUAGAACUCCACUCUUUUCUCCGGAAGUCGGAGAUGAUCACAUUGGGUAACAGACUUUGUGGAUAAUCUUUGAUUUAUGGUAUCUAGUAUUUUCAUUUCAGCUUGCAAUACAAAGUUUAUGUUUCUGUUUGUUCCAAUUUACAUUUCUUUGAUCGCCUUUCAAUUCAAUUUACAUUUCUUGCCUUUGAAUUUACUUUUUCAGCAAUUUUAUUGAUUAUGCUUAUGAUUUAGGUUCUUGCAUUGAUUCCAUUCUUUUGAUACUGGUUUCUGAAUUUGAUGAUGUGUUCAUAUUAGAGUUAACAUUUUGAUUCUGUUUCUUAUUGCUUUUAGAGUAGUUUUAUGAUGUUCUUGAUGAGUGAUAUGAUAUAUUUUUGGAUUGUAUCAAUAUUGGGUUGAUGAAUUGAGUGAGAGUCACCAUUUCAAGUCCUGCAAUAUGGACUCAAAGACCCUAAAGUGGGCUUUAUUUUACCGGAUGUCUUCUUGAGAGUGACUGAGACUCUUUUCACUAAAUCAAUAUGUGUUAAAUCUGAAAAUUGUUUUCAAUUGAAUUCCUUGUAUGAUUCUUUGCUUAGUUGGUUUGUUAGAUGAUAGAUUUAGGAAAAUUGCUUCAUUCUUGUUUCAGUUUUGUAUUUUUAGUAUUGUUACCAUUUGAGAUCUUUUUUGUCUUGCAAUUUUAAAUUUUCAUUUGUAGAAUUAGGAAUCUCACGUGUUUUGUCCCUGCAUCUAGAAUUAAGCAUUUAGUUUCUUUAUUUUUUUUUUAUGCAUCUGGUUUUAGUUUCUUUAGGUUCAAUAGUUAAAUUUCUUAGCAUUAAUCAUUUUAGCAGAUAUAAUCAUGCAUUUUCAUAUUUUAGAUUUCAUAAAUUUUUCUUUCCCCACCUAGUAAUAGUAAAUAAGUAAAAUAUGUUUUAAUUCUACAAAUUCUAAACUUAACAAGAAUCCAGUCCUUCGAUUAGACCCUAGGUUACCCCUAUACUACAUUAGUCGGGAAUUUAGGUUUGUUGAGCUUUAAUGCAACUAAAAAGCCUUUCAACACACCUCCUACUCUCCCAAUCAUAAUUGAUUCAAGAGUUCUAAAGGGAGUUUUCCAAACUUUGAACUCUUAUCUUUUCAUUAAUGAUUCUCAUUUCUUGAUUUCAACCUUUACUUUUGAAAGUCUUUUACCUCCACUAUCACUUCCCAUUAUUUUUAACUCCUCAAUAACCUUUGAAAAAUCACUCUUUGAGUUGUUGUUACCUCACAAGUUACAAAUAACUCAAGGUGAACAAAAAUAUUUUUGUAAGUUAGGUCUUAUAACUUUUGAAUAAACUAAAACAAGAGAUGUCCUAUACUUCAAGUGUUUUGAGAGAAGGAACAUUUAUUUUGAAUAUCCUCCCAAAAGAACAUUGCUUUCAAAAGAUCAACAUACAAGAAGCUUGGAUAACUCUCAUUCUUCACCUAGUGAAGAAAAAGUUUUAGAUUCUGUAGAAAAUAUAAAUUUUCCUCAUGAAAAUCUUUUCAAAAAUAAAAGGCCUUAUUUCUUUCUUCUUUUGUAUAUGCUUUUAUCACUAGAACAACUUUUUGAAAUAAAGGCCAACAAUACUUUUCAUAAAACCCUUUCCAAAAACAAAAGACCUUCUUUCUUUGUUCUUUUGUUUAAGUCUAUUCUUUUAAUAAUACUCCGAUUUGCUAUUUGUAGUAGGUACAUUUUUUAUCUAGGAGGAGAUCAUUACACAAAAAGUUGUGCUUCCUCAAAUAUCUUUCCGAUCUAGGACAAAUCAUUUUUAGGAGGGAGCGUAUGAUGGAAUCCGUUUUGAGAACUAAAUGGAGAUCCAUGAAGGGAGCAUCAACUAAAGCUAAGGCUAGGAUAUUGGAAGAAGAAGAAGGACUUUCAAGCUUGUUCUUGUGUUCCCUUAAGCCUUAGAAGACAUUAGACCUCUCAUAAAGAGCCAUGGUCAAAGAAGAUGGAAGAAGAAGAUGGAGCUUGAAGGAUUCUAGUCUUAUGGACGGUCACAUUUUAGUCUUCUUCUUUAUCUUAAAACACAUUUUGUAAAUAUGUAAUAUAGCUCCUUUAUAGGCCUUGUAUUUGGCCAAGACACUUUGUUUAGCUUUGCUUAGAAGGUUUGAUGGCUUUAAGAGUUAAAAAUGGGUUAAAAAUGGGUUUUGGAAGGAGUUAGUUGCAAGGAGUCUUUGCAUUAAAUGCUUUGACUAAGUUAGUUACAAAGCAUAAAGCUUCUCACAUUUAAUGUUUAGCCUCCUCAUUUAAUGCUUAGGCUCCUCAUUUAAUGUUUAGGUUUCUCAUUUAAUGAUGAGGCUUCUUAUUAAAUGAUGAAAAGGCUCCUAAGUACUUCAUAUGUACUCUAGCCUUCUCUUUCACCUAUAAAAAGAGAGGCACCCUUUUGUAAUCCUUCUCUUCUUAAGUUCUCAUCUUAUGAAAUUGUCUUCUUCUAAACUUCUUCAUAAAUUCUCCUUAAUGGUUGGCUUAACUUCCUAGAAAGACAUCUACCAAGACCAUACAACACCAACAUCUUCAUCUCUUCAUAUCUAUUUUCUUGCGCUACUUUUAUUGAUCAUCAUGGAGUCCACCCCUUUAAAGAAGCUUCCCCAAUUCAUCAUGGAUAUCAUCUUAUGUUGAAGGAACCUCUUCAAAGCAAUCUCCAUCAUUAAGC